UGCUUGGGAAUAUGCCUUAUGGUGGGGGACAACAGUUGGAAACGACUGCUAAUACCGCAUAACGUCUACGGACCAAAGGGGGAGGUCUUCGGUACCGUCUCGCCACUUUGUAUUAGCCCAACGUGAGAUUAGUCUAGUUGGUAAGGUAAGAGCUUACCAAGGCGACGAUCUCUAGCUGGUUUGUAGAGGAUGAUCAGCCACACUGGGACGUGAGACACGGCCCGACGACUCCUACGGGAGGGCAGCAGUGGGGAAGUAAUUGCACAAUGGGGGAAACCCGUACGAUGCAGCCAUGCCGCG
rnacentral:rRNA from 1 species